rnacentral:rRNA from 1 species
AGAGUUUGAUCCUGGCUCAGAACGAACGCUGGCGGCGUGGAUAAGACAUGCAAGUCGAACGGGAGAAUUGCUAGCUUGCUAAUAAUUCUCUAGUGGCGCACGGGUGAGUAACACGUGAGUAACCUGCCUCUUAGUGGGGGAUAGCCCUGGGAAACCGGGAUUAAUACCGCAUACGAUUGAAAGAUCAAAGCAGCAAUGCGCUAGGAGAUGGGCUCGCGGCCUAUUAGUUAGUUGGUGAGGUAACGGCUCACCAAGGCGAUGACGGGUAGCCGGUCUGAGAGGAUGUCCGGCCACACUGGAACUGAGACACGGUCCAGACACCUACGGGUGGCAGCAGUCGAGAAUCAUUCACAAUGGGGGCAACCCUGAUGGUGCGACGCCGCGUGGGGGAAUGAAGGUCUUCGGAUUGUAAACCCCUGUCAUGUGGGAGCAAAUUAAAAAGAUAGUACCACAAGAGGAAGAGACGGCUAACUCUGUGCCAGCAGCCGCGGUAAUACAGAGGUCUCAAGCGUUGUUCGGAUUCACUGGGCGUAAAGCGUGCGUAGGCUGUUUCGUAAGUCGUGUGUGAAAGGCAGGGGCUCAACCCCUGGAUUGCACAUGAUACUGCGAGACUAGAGUAAUGGAGGGGGAACCGGAAUUCUCGGUGUAGCAGUGAAAUGCGUAGAUAUCGUGAGGAACACUCGUGGCGAAGGCGGGUUCCUGGACAUUAACUGACGCUGAGGCACGAAGGCCAGGGGAGCGAAAGGGAUUAGAUACCCCUGUAGUCCUGGCAGUAAACGGUGCACGCUUGGUGUGCGGGGAAUCGACCCCCUGCGUGCCGGAGCUAACGCGUUAAGCGUGCCGCCUGGGGAGUACGGUCGCAAGAUUAAAACUCAAAGAAAUUGACGGGGACCCGCACAAGCGGUGGAGUAUGUGGCUUAAUUCGAUGCAACGCGAAGAACCUUACCUGGGCUUGACAUGUAAUGAACAACAUGUGAAAGCAUGCGACUCUUCGGAGGCGUUACACAGGUGCUGCAUGGCCGUCGUCAGCUCGUGUCGUGAGAUGUUUGGUUAAGUCCAGCAACGAGCGCAACCCCUGUUGCCAGUUACCAUCGAGUAAUGUCGGGGACUCUGGCGAGACUGCCCAGAUCAACUGGGAGGAAGGUGGGGACGACGUCAGGUCAGUAUGGCCCUUAUGCCCAGGGCUGCACACGUACUACAAUGCCCAGUACAGAGGGGGCCGAAGCCGCGAGGCGGAGGAAAUCCUGAAAACUGGGCCCAGUUCGGACUGUAGGCUGCAACCCGCCUACACGAAGCCGGAAUCGCUAGUAAUGGCGCAUCAGCUACGGCGCCGUGAAUACGUUCCCGGGUCUUGCACUCACCGCCCGUCA